GGGGAAGGGACUCCCGCGGCCCUAAGGUGCUGGCGGGCGUUUGGCGUUGCAGCUGUGUGGGCGCUGGUGCGUGCGAGUAGCGCUCGAAGAAACCCAAAGGCGUCGUGGGGCUGCCGUGUGCCCCAGAGAGCACUGCAGGCCGGGUAGGGGCUAAGGCUCCCCGCAGUCUUCUGUGUGUCGUCCAGUACGCAGUUGAAAUCGUUCUCCAACCUGGCCAGUCCUCCGAGGCCCUUCUCAGGCGACCAGACUCUGUUAACAGAGUCCAUUGCUAAAACUCCUCGUUAGUAUUUACCACUCCUCCAGUCUGUGUUUUGAAGCAGUGGUUUUCAACCACUGCCCGUUUUCAGAAGAAAUCAUCUCAAGCGUCCGUGUGCUGCUAGAAGCCGGGCCGGGAGGUCUUGGUGCCGGACUCCACCCUGCAGCCCUUCCCUUUCGCCACCGCCCUGUGCUUAGAGAAACCUUAGAGUGGAGCAAUGAGUCGCCCUUGACUGAGUAACUCUUCGGGGUCAACUUCUCCUUCCACGCCAAGGAAAGGAUUCCAGGGCGAUGUUUCUGGAAAUAGAGAUCUGACCAAGCCACUGCUCUGGUGAAAAUUCAGUGGGUCCCUAGCACCUAGUGCAGCGGCUCCUAGCCUGAGUAUUGCCGUCUUUCGGUGGGGAGGGGUUGGGUUUUUUUGUAGCAUCUGUUGAUCUGAUCUCCAACAUCCUCCACGUCAAUUCCCACUCCACCCACAUCCCUUAUCCUAUACGUAAGCUUUCCAGCCACGGUGCUGGCUUGGGUGGGGGUGCGUGCGGUGCUGACACCAAAAUGGAGGUCCCGUGUUUCUGAGAGUCUCUUUCAGAGCAAUGCAAACCUGAAACUACUCCUGCCAAGAAACGAUUGCAGCUCUUCCCGGAAAAGUUAAAGCCUUUGAGAAACAAAGCUGAGGUUGAAAGUAUUAGUCCAUUUUAUAGAUGAAGAAAUGGAGGCCCAGAGAGAUCACGUGACUUAGCCAAGUCCACCAACUAAUAUUGGGAAGCUCAGCAGGGUCCUGGGGGCCCACAGGAAUGUGAAUAAACACGCUUGGAAAGUCUGCAGAAUUUCCAGUCCUAGCCUCCUGCUGGUGUGAACCUGGGCUCCUGUGCCUGGGACCCUGGGAGGUGGGGGGACACCGGGCUGGAGGAAAUAAUGUGCCAUCUGGGA
rnacentral:lncRNA from 1 species